rnacentral:misc_RNA from 1 species
GCGACUCUCCCUCGCCCCGCGGAAGAGGAGCCUCAUCCGAAGGGAGGAUGCGGAGCGCGUUGGCCGAGGAAGGAGGGCGUCGCCGGCGGAGACGACAUCACGCCGCCGGAGCAGCAGCAGCAGCGGACGCGGUGGCGGCAACGCCGGCGCGGGGACAGCUUCGCCGCCGGGCGCCCACCAGCGCUCACCAGCAGCUGGCCGCGGCCAUGCGGCGAGGCAUGUAGGCUGGGUGGUGGUGCGUGCCAUGGGCGAGACCCCGUCGAGGACCACGAGCGUGCCGCCUCCGGCCGCUGCGGGCGGCGGGCCGGCAUGGCGGCUCCGGCUGUCGGCGCUCAUCGUGGCGCUGCUCAGCUGGCGCACGCCGUGCUGCGCGGCCAACGCGGACACCAAGCGCCUCUACCACGACCUCAUCAACGGAUACAGCUCGCUCAUCAGGCCCGUGGGCAACAACUCGGACCGGCUCACGGUCAAGAUGGGCCUCCGCCUGUCGCAGCUCAUCGACGUGAACCUCAAGAAUCAAAUAAUGACAACAAACGUAUGGGUAGAGCAGGAGUGGAACGACUAUAAGCUCCGCUGGGACCCCGAAGAGUACGGCGGAGUGACUAAAGUCCACGUACCGGCUGAACAAAUCUGGCUGCCGGACAUUGUUCUUUACAAUAACGCUGAUGGAAACUACGAGGUAACCAUCAUGACCAAAGCCAUUCUCCAUUCGGAUGGCCUCGUCAUCUGGAAACCACCCGCAAUCUACAAAAGUUCCUGCGAGAUAGACGUGCAAUAUUUUCCAUUUGACCAGCAGACCUGCUUCAUGAAGUUUGGAUCCUGGACCUACGACGGAUACACGGUCGACCUGAAGCACAAGCACCAGCGCGACGAUUCCAACGACAUCGCGGUGGGCAUCGACCUGUCCGAAUUCUACCUGAGCGUCGAGUGGGACAUCAUGGCGGUGCCCGCGCGGCGCAAGGAGAAGUUCUACUCGUGCUGCGAGGAGCCCUUUCCGGACAUCACCUUCAACAUCACGCUGCGGCGCAAAACCCUGUUCUACACCGUCAACCUGAUCAUCCCCUGCGUGGCCAUCUCUUUCCUCUCCGUGCUGGUGUUCUACCUGCCCUCGGACUCCGGCGAGAAGGUCUCGCUCUCCAUCUCCAUCAUGCUCUCGCUGGGCGUCUUCUUCCUGCUCCUCUCCGAAAUCAUCCCGCCCACGUCGCUGGCCGUGCCCUUGCUCGGCAAGUACUUGCUCUUCACCAUGGUGCUCGUCUCCCUCUCCGUCUUCGUCACCAUCGCCGUGCUCAACGUCAACUUCCGCUCGCCGGCGACGCACAAGAUGGCGCCCUGGGUCAAGCACGUCUUCCUGAAGGUCCUGCCCCCCGUUCUCCUCAUGAAACGGCCCCAAGACGAUGAUGACGAUGACGAUGCCAGUGCCAUGGGCUUCGAUGCCACGCCGUCCGCCGACAACCGAGCUCCGCCGUCUCCUCCGCCGCCGCCGCCACCGCCACCACCGCCGCUACAGGAACUGACACUAUGCGCGUACCACUCUGCCGAGCCGCCAGAGAGCGGCGGUGACGACGCCUCUCCUCGGGCGUUGCCUUCGCCUCCCGAUGGCGGCGCCGACCCGGGAUCCCUGCUCGACCAGGACCUGGCCAGACCCGUGUUCAACGUGCGCUUCAUCGCGCAGCACAUGGAGAAUGCCGACCACUUUGAUCAGGUCAUAGAAGACUGGCGUUACGUGGCCAUGGUCCUGGACCGACUAUUCCUGCUGCUGUUCACGUUCACGUGCGUCGUGGGAUCAGCCUGCAUCAUCCUUGAGGCGCCCUCGCUGUUCGACGACAAGCUCCCUAUUGACAUCCUCAUGUCCAAGGUGGCUCCGCGACUGCGGCGCAUCCACGACUGAGCCUGCCGAUAUCGGUCGGCCGAAGACGCUUGCUCCACCAGAAGCCCUUCCCGACUUGUCUUGACCAGAGGUACCCUCGCUUCACGCUCGCCUUGCGAGCUGGACAUCGUCAGCCCAAUCCUCGACCUGCUGAAAGAGGACUGUGACACGAGUGAUGAGAGAGUGCGUGGCUGUGAAAGAGAGACUUGAGACUUUACUGUUUGUAGUGAGCAGAGUCAAAACGGGGCACAACUGUGGCCGAAAAAAAAAAAUGAAGAGAACACACUCGAAGUGAGGCGAUACAGUCUAGAUAUUUUGUACGUUCGCCCGCUUCGUAACGCGAGCCCUAGACGAACAAAAAAAAUAUUUUGCCGGGGAGCCUUUCUCCCCUGUCUUUCGCUUUUAUUUUUCAAGGUUCUUAACGCUCUUUCAACGCGGAGUUACACAAAAUGGUAACGCGGUCUUCGAAUAGCGCCGUCGUCCGCCUCGCGUCGUCUUCGUUUUCGCUUGAGCCCUCCCUUUCACACCCUAUGCUCACCUAACAAUGUCGCUAACUUCCACUCCUAAUUUCCUAAUCUAUCCUCGUUUACUGGUUUAGUUUAUGAGUGCGCGAGUUGGCGGGUUGGUACCGACUUUGCUUUCAGAUUCGUUCUUUUUUUUUGUUAAUUGUGCUCAGCCUGAUGCUGCCUGUAGGUACGACGAGUCUGGAAAGUGACACCUGCUGAGUGUACUGUUUUCCCAGAUGCCACUUCCAUCUGCCAUGCACUCGAGACAAGCACGACGCAUUUCCGAGUCUUCAGCCUGGAAACCAUUUAUUGCUCGAGUGAAAGUUGUAAGUGCUUGUAGUAAGCUUGAUGUGUGUUACUGUUGGCCGCCCCGCUUUUUUUUUUCUUUUCCCCCAGUACCCGCUGUUUUCUUUUUUGUUUUUGUCAGCGGAGUCGCCUUGUUGUUACGCGUAGGAACGUGCGCCCGUGGGGGCCGAGAUUUCGCUGGACUCGCGCUGAACGCUGAACGCUGAAAAUAUAGGA